AUGUUGAACACACACUACCACGUGUGCACACUGAUAUUUUUCUAAGUAAUGAAUAAUUAUUCUUAUACAUGUGUUAUAAAAUGUUUAUAUGAAGCAUUUUAAACAGAGAAAUUAAAACAUGAGUAGAAAUAGAAGUUCUGAAAUGAUCACCUCUAUCCAGUGAAUUAUUUACCUGAUUUUGUCUUAAAAUCUUUCUUUAGCUUCUGUUUGCUUUAUUUAAAAUCAUUCUAGCCUUGGACGUUUUUGUUCAUUUACUUAUGUAAGAGUAUUAACAAAUAAAAUAAAAUUCUUAUAUUAGGCUUUGAACAGUAAGAAUCCCGGAAUCCUCUCAUUAUUCCACAGCCUGUGCAAUGCUCUAUUAGUAAAGAAACUUCCAGGUCCAUAGAACCUGUUUAAAAAUCACCACCCAGCCCAGGGAUUUAGCUCAGUGGUUUGGCCGCCAGCUGUGCAAGCGCAAGGACCCGAGUUCAAUCCCUGGUACCAAAAAUUAAAAAAAAAAAAAAAAUCACCACCCUAAAUGUUGACAUCCAAAGUAAUUAGUGUGGCAUAUAAGGCCCUUCACCAUCUGCUUCCUGCCUACCUUCUCAGUUUCAUCUUCUAAUAGCAUUUAGGCCACCCUAUGUGCCCGCGUUCCCACUUUAAUUAUUCUUUCCAUGGAGCUUUUCCUUGGCAUAUCGUUUCUCCUUUGGAAUUCUCCUCUUAUCUCAUCUAUCAAGUAUACUCUUAUUCACAAAUUGUCAUUGCCUACAGAUAAUUUCUCCUAGUUCUAACAAUUCCCCUCCUAUGUGUACAAUACUUGAUACAAAGUAGGGUUCCAAAAUUAUUGAUUCCAUGAAUUGAGGAGGUAUGGAAAUAUAUAAUAUCCAUUAUUCAUUCCUCAUUUCUCAAUUCUAUAAGCACUUAGCAAAAAUAUAGGUAGUGCAUAGUUUUAUUUUUAGUGUUGUUUUAGUAGUAUAUACCUUUGUACUUGUGUGUGUAUACCUUUGCCAAAACCAAGAGGGUUUUUGAAAUUUCUCAAUGAAAGAUAUUUUGCUUUUGUUGGAGAAAAAGUUACUUUAAAAAAUAGCAAAUCAAGCAUUGCUGGACUCUGAUGUUCAUAAAUUAAAACUGUAGCAUUCAAAGCUCUUCACUAACUUUCCUUUGCUUUCCCUCUAACUCUCUCACCUACCAUUUCUCUAUUCUAAGGCCGGACAGCCCCCUGACAAUAUGCACAAGCAAUGUUAGGUUUUAUUUCCAAGCCUCUUCUUAUACUGUAUUCCUCUUAGAACAUCCUCAUCUUCCCUUCUGUGUUUCCUAUUCAUAUACUUUCCAAUAAGAAACAUCCAGUUCAACAACUACCACUUCUAAACAGUUCAUAUUGAUCUCUUCUGACCUGAACUUUAUUGCCAGUAUUUGCUUUAUUUCAUUUAGCAAUUAAUCCCACAUUGCCUUGCAUUACUAUGUAGAUCUUUCAAGUCCUUUUGUCCUGUCUACCCACAAAAGACACAAGUCUGGGCCAGAGAUUUAGCUCAGUGAUGCUGCUGCCUGCCUCGCAAGCGCAAGGUCCUGAGUUAGAUCACCAGUACCAAAAAAAAAAGUCAAGUCCUGAAUUAUCAAAGAUGUAGCAUUUUGUGUUUAUUCACAUUAUCUUAUGUGUGAAUAUACAUAACAGAUGCUCUACAAGUACAGUAAUUAUUUUACAAUUGUAUAUCUUAGAACAUGUCCAAGGACUAGAACAUUUUUCAAUUUUGUUUAAAUUAAUUGAUUCAGUCUUUCAUCAACAAAAGUAGAUAUUAAAAAUAUAUUAGCACAAGUAAAUAAACAUUAUUUUAUAUUUGGACAGCAACUUACAUGUAACCAAGAUUUGAAUAUCUAACAUAAAAACAGAACUGUGGAUCAGUACUGAAUAGUAGAAGUCUUCUUGGGUACUAUAUUGGCAAGAACACUGGAUUGAGAUUUAGAAAGCAUAGUUUUAGUCCUGGAUACCUCACAGCAGGGAAACAACUCUGUGUGAUCUGAGUUUCAGUUAUAUAUUUCUAAAAGAGUGUUGACAUUAGUCAUUUUUGUCAUCCAUUCCACUUUCUCCCACUCCUGACCCCUAAAUUAUCUGAUUUGUCUUUAGGAGAAGGUACAGAUGUAAGAAAAAUAUAAGAAUUCCAAGAGGCAUUGAUGGAAAUCUUUCCCUCUUCCUAUAUUAGGCAGAAUAAUAACUCCACCAAGGUAGCCACAUGCCCUAGUCCCCACAAAUUGUGGACAUGUUCUGCUACAUAACAAAGAGGUUUUACAGUUGCAGAAGAAAUUAGAAUCAUUAACCAACUGACAUAAUAAGGAGAUUUAUCCAGGUGGGCUUACAUAAAUUAUAAGGGACCUUUCAACAUGGAAGAUGGGGCAGAAGUUUGUGGCAGAUGAUGCAGAGCAAAAAAAACCUUAGCCUCCAUUUCUGGUUCUGAAGCUGGAAGGGACUGGGAGUCAAAAAAGACAGUCAUUAGGUGGGGAAGAGAUUGUUUCCCCAGGGCUCAGAAGGAACUGGCCCGCCAACAUUUCAGCAUUAGCCCUCUAGCACCCAUUCUGGACUUGACCUCUACAAUGGUAAGAUAAUAAAUUUGGGGUGCUUAAAGUCCCUUACUCACCCAGUGCAUCGUAAGUUGUUACAACAGCAAUAGGAAACUAAUACAACUCCCACUGAACAAAAGAGAUUAAUAAAAGAAAAAACUGUAAACUUUUUCUAGGGAAGGAAUGUGAUGAUAAUAAAUCAACAUGACAUAUACAAACUAGCAACAGUCACUUUAGGGACUGUGAAAUCCUCAUUUGUUAAAAUGAAAGUAGAAUAACUCAGCCACUUAUAUACUUUACGAAGCACUUAUUUUCAUCUUCCUGGUCUCAGAAGACAGAUCGGUUUGGGCAUAAUAAAUAUUACAGAAUAGCAUUACCAACAUUUUUUUUUCAUUGUCUGGGAGGGUUUUUUUGUUGUUUUUUUUCCCUAAACAUGAUUACUACAAAUAAGCCAUCCUGACUGUAGAAUCUAGUGCCUUCAGGAAUUUAGAAGAUAAUUAAAUUUAAAAGGAACAUUUAUGAUCAUUUAGCUUACUCCCUUCAUUUGAGAGAUAAAUUAUUGAACUCUAGAGAUAAAGAGACUUGACCAAAGUGACUCGGUUUUUAUUAUCCAAGUGGAAAGUGAAAUGCCACUCCCUCCUGAUCCUCCAGACGAGGGUCACUGGCAGAAGGUGAGAAGGACGAAAGGGAGGAUGAGAAGAGAGGGGAACCUGAAGAAGAGGGAGCAGCCACACAAAGGAGCUUGGAUUUACUCAGAAUGCAACAGGAAUCCAGGGAUAUGUUGUAUAUUUUUAAUGCAUAAAUUUAACAUAAAUUUAAUAACAUGAAUAUACAAAUUUAAUCUAGUAGAGAUACGAAAAUGAAAGUAGAGACCAGUCACAAGGUUAUUGCAAUAUUAGAGUGAGAGAUGAUGGCACAUGGAAGAGGGUGGUAGUCAAGGUGGCAAUGAGAAAUAGAUCAAUUCAGGAUCUACUCUGGGGUUACGAACGACAGGACUCAUUGUUAGGCUAGGGAUGGGUAAGGAAAAUAGUGAAAUCAGAUACUAUUCCAAGAGUGUGACUUAAUGUCGCCACAUCCUGAAGUGGGAAAAAUAAGGGGGAAAAUAAGAAUUCACUGUAUCUUUUAAGUUCAAAACACCAAUUAAACAUUAAUAGGUAAUUUCUUGAUUCGGUCCUUACAUGUCUACUUUUGCGUAGAGCUUUCUCCCAGGAAUAACAACACACACUUACUCUUCUUAUGCAGCUUUAAUUGAAGGAGGAACUAAGCAUGAGUGGUGUUGCAUAAGAGGAGUUCAAAGAUGUCUGCAAGGGAAGGCAGCAAAGGAUUCACCAUGAGACAGUGCUGCUAAAUGAUAUGAUUAAAGUCAUAUAGGAAAAUGACAAAUCAUUCAUCAAGAACCACAACCCGAAGUUACAGGGGUGAUAAAAUGGAGCUGAAAGGUAUGUAUAAGACCUCUCACAAUUGUUCAAGAAAUAGUAAAGUAUCUCUCUGUUUGAUUGUACACUGUGAGUAAAAGCUAGGCUGCCCUACUAAACUUCUUUUUACCAAGCUAAUCAGCCAAGUUUGACGUUCAGGGUGUGUGUACUUCCCAACUAAUGGGCCAUUAGUGAGCCCUUACUUUUUCAGAAGCUAAGCCUUGGUAGUAAUGGUUUUGGACUGUACAGUACGUCUAUUCUUUCUUUUUCUCGUCUUCCUUUCUUUGCUGCCUAUUUUUGAAAUAUGCCAUCCCUUGUUAAUAUUUCCACUUGGUAAGAAAGCAGAGAAAGGAGCUGAAACUUAAUUCUGUUCACUUUACUUUUUGCUAGCAGCAAUGGUAGAAGAUUUCUUACAGGAAGAGGUUGAAGGUAUUGGCUGAAAUGCAGCUCAGGGAAUAUAGCGGAUUUCAAUAACUUGUGCUCUCGCUCUGUUCUUCAGCCAAAUAAUCCAGUCCCGGUCAUGCAGUUAACUACUCAAAUCCAGUCAUCUCGAGUGUGGUGUGUUCACACACCCUGCUUUCUCUUCUCCGCUGCUCUAUCUACCCGACUUGGUCAGCAGUCUCAUGCAUUACUAACUCUGUCUGGAGACAGCAGCCCAGGUGAAGUAUGCCUUCUAGAAAAGUGAGAAAUUACAGUGCCAAAGACACAGCCCUCUGAGGUGACUUAGAAUCAACUGGGCCGAGAUUCUGCACUUCUAGCAAGCUGCCUUGUGAUCCUAUCAUAUUGCUGCUGGUCCAUGGAUCCAAGCAGAGGAAGCUUAAGAAGACUGUUGUGGACAACAGUAGAUAAGAACUCAUCUUACUUUUCAAAUAAGGCCCUUUUUCUCACAGGUUCUGCGGAAGAAGAAACAAUCAGAGAGAUAACUCUGUGAGUUUUCACAAUAAAUGCAAUCAGCAGCACAAUAAAUUAUACAUUUUCAUCAUCCCUAGUAUACCUCCAUGUCCUUUGUGGCCAACCAGUGAGACCCCUUGAUCUGUUUUCUGCAGAAUGUCAUAUAAAAGAAAUCACAGCAUUUCAAUGCAGUCUUUUGAUAAUGGUUUCUUUCAUUAACUACAGCAUUAAAGCUUUAUUCUUGGUUUAUGUAUUAUUAUCACUUCCUUUUUUCACUGAGUUGUAUUUGCUUAUAUUGAUAUAUCACAUCUUGCUUAUCUAUUCCAUAAUUGAGAGAUUUUUUUUAUUUUGGUUAAUCUAAAAAUGGUAAAAAUGCAUGUAUAAAUUUUUGUGUGAAUGUAGGCUGUAUUUCACUUGACUAACAAGUGAAAUAAAAAUAACAAACAAUGAGAUUGCUGGGUUGUACGUCAAAUGUAUGUUUAUAAGAAACUAUCAAAGUGUUUUCCAUAGUUCUUUUCUUACAGUCUCACCAGAGUUCCAGGUUUAUUUUUGUAGUUUACUCACUCUCUCAAUGUCAUAAAUUAAUUUGCCUAUUCUUGAACAUCAAAUAAUGGAAUUAUUUAUGUGGCUUCUUUUGCUUAAUAUAAAGUUUGUAGAAUUCAUUCAUGUUAUUCCAUGUAAUAAGAGUUUAUUCUUUUUUGCUGAUGAAUAGUAUUCUGUAAUAUGAAUACAAA